UUUGUUUGGCAACACUACUUAGGCAUGGAUGGCUGAUGGACCAUUACAAGUCAUUUACUAAGGAGAAGGUUAACCAGAGAAAUAUUCUCAUUAACCUGAAUCUGAUUCUCCUCUUCAUUACUGAAAGCUAGAUUGUUUUCACUAUGAAGGUAAAUGUCAUGGUUUUGUGGUGUUGCUGUCAAUAUUCUACAUCAUAACAUGGACUACCUUAUUAUAUGUUCAUAUGUAUAUAUAAUGUGACCCUCAUAUUAUUUUGGAUACCCAGUUUUUCACAAAACCCUUGUAGACUCACGAAUGGUACACUGUUAUCGCUUAACAGAGUGCUUAUGUUUUUAAAACAGAUCUUCUCAUUGUGAGCUGUGUUUCUCAGACUAUCAGGUAAAAACCUACUUAUUUAUUUAUUCUGUCAAACACAUGAUGCCAAUAUUUCAUGGUGAGCACUAUGUGGAUAGCAGAUCAACUUGCUUCUGGAGUCAUUAAAAAAUGACACGGUUAUUCGCCUCUUUUUUCAACUAUUCAUGAAAACAGACUUCAUGCAUACCUCCAUUUAUGUGUGAGGGAGAGAUCAGGACUAAAGGAGACCAGGAUGUCCUCUAUUUGCAGCCACUGGACUUUCCUGCAAGAUUCAUGCUGUACAGAGAGCUGGAAGUAGUACCAACAAUUUAUCUGGAGAAACCAACAACACCACCCAGUUACAGGCAUUUGACCACGUAAGGAUCUAGGUUAAAAUUACCUUGGCUGGAGAAGAGGGUAGAAGCAAGGUUACCUCAGCACCUGAUGUGUCCUUGAUACUCCUAGAAAGGGAGGAAAGCAAGAAGGCAUCUGCAGCCUCUUAGGGCUGGGAAGGGACUUUCAUCUCCACCCCUUUCGUAUCUGUAAGGCAAGAGGGCUCCUCUGGUGGCUUCCCCAGAUCCCAUUCAAAGGCGUAUGGGUUCAUGUGUUCAACAGGGAGCCCAGGUACACAACCCAGGGCUGGGCAUUUCAGCAACUGCCAAGAUUGUGGCUUCAUCCCAUGUGACAGCCAGCCCGACUCGUUCUCCAGAGAACUCCAGUGACUUCAGAGGAGCAGAGCAAGGUUAUGCUCCUGGCUAAGGUUCCCAAAGUCAGUGGGAUGUAGCUGGAUAAAAGUGCUAAAAGUUCAAAACUGCAACAUUUGCUAUUGCAACAUCUAAAGCUUUUUGUGGACUGAUCUGCUGGGGAAAUUCUGGUUAGGUAAACGCAGUGGUGUUUUACAAUUGACUCUAAUGGCCCUAGAAGUCAUUGAAAGAAUUCUGUACAAAAGCUAAUGCUGCUACUCUAGGUAUUAACUGGCUCUGGUCCGAUAAUAUUGAGAGAUCAAAGCCACCCCUAAGUCUUGCUGUAAUUAAAGAUAGGUUUCAACUGUUCCUUAAAAGCAGUGAAUCUUUUCAGUUCUUUUCUCUAAAAGCUCUUUCUAUUAGAUGUAUUUUGAUAGAGAGAUGUAUUUCUAUUAGAUGUAUUUCAAAAAUAGGAAAUGUCCCUAUUUUUUAUUUUUUAUUUUAACUAAAUGCUCCUAUCUAUAUGUUAAAAAAGAAACCUAACAGGCUUGCAGGCACUGAAAAAAAAAAAGAAAGCCCUCAAGGGGACAGCAUUUUGAAAUGGAACAGGAUUUAAAGUGAGAAUUCAUGAAUAUCUCUUUUGCUGGACAUGACUGCAAGUCUUGCAGAGAUCUGUGGUGCACAGAUCAGCACGGUACAGCUGAGAGCCAGCCAUGACUGCACAGCCCUCUGCGCUCUACUGUGGUGGAGAAGGAGGGCAGCACUCAGAGUGGUGACUGUGAGCCCAGCCCAGCUCUGAGGUGAGGAAGAUGAGGGUACUCCAGUACAGGUGGUGCAUGUAAAGGUGCAGAGGGCUGAGGAUGAAGAGCAGGUUGUCCACAGUGGUUCCUAAAACACAAUCCUGCUCCAUGAAACAGGGCCACUCUCAGCUUUUUGGCUUGGUUCUUGAUGAAGCAAUUCACAACUGUGGGAACCUCUCUGAGCUCAGCACUAACACAUGUACCACUAGCCAUCUGUUUUGCCUUUUGCUGGUUAGUUCUUUAUUAAUGUUGACUCUGCAGGUGUCUUCUGAAUACAAAUCACUGUACUGCACCGCGUAUCCCUAGGACAAAAAGCAAUUACAGUCACUGCCAAGUUGAAAACAUCUAUCCUAAAGAAGGUCUUGCAGGUCCAGGGCAUGAAGUGUAGCUGUGUGACAGACCAAUGAAGAGUUAUUCCAGUGCUCCCCUGUAAUGCACCUUGGUUCGGCUCUUUUCAUCUGACCAUACCUUCAUCUCACUCUUUCUACACAGUAUCCUUAAGCCAAUGGAUGACAAAAGUCCUAGGAGCUAGGAAUUGCCAGCUGCCCUAGGUCCGUAGUCCAGCACAGCAAUGACUAUGGGGUGGUAGGAAGUAUGGCACCACACAAGAUACUGGUCUCAAUUUGUCUCCCUGAUUGAAAGCCACUAAGGCCCAAGAACAUACAAAGAAAGAACUGAUUGUUCUACUUAACAGAACUUUGGCUGUAUCGUAAUCGGGUUCAUUUCUGCCACUGAGCAGCUGGACAGAGCAGAGACCUGCCACACAAACAUACAUCAGCUGAAAGCCUGGAAAUACUUCUGUGUAGAGAUGGAGGGAACACAGCUGCUUGAUACAGAAAGCAGAUGAAAAAGUAAAUGUAUGAAUAGAGUUUAUAUGGAGCAGAAGAGGCACAAAAUAAUGAAUGUCAUAGAAAAUCAAGGUCUCCUGUUUGUUCCUCUGCAUAAUGCCAAAACAACAGUUUUAAAUGGAAGAGGAAAGCAGCACAUCCUGAGUGGUGCAUUAUUAAUUUACAAUAUUAACCGAUGCAUCAAAAUGAAGGAUUUAAUAAAAAUAAAAGUAAAGAAAAGUCUUUGUAUGGAGAACAAGAAAAACCUAAACCCUAUUGACAGCACCACAUGACAAAAAACAUGACCCUAACUAACUGCUAGUGGGUUUCAUAUCUCUUCACUUUAACAAUGAUCUGAACAAGAAUGUAAGAUGUGUUCAUCAAGUGUCAGUGAAUGUCAAUGGGUGCCAUUUUUUUUCCAUAUGGAGGAAUUCAGUGACACCCCUCUGCUUCACACAUGCUUCUAUAUCAGACAACGUUUCAUCAGACUGCCCCUCUGCCGCCAUCAGUGGCAUGGAAUGGAAUAUUCGUGGGAAGGUUCAGCCUCUCCUGCCGUACCACCAUCAUCCACCUCAGACAUCAUGGGCCAGCAUAAUAAAACAGGAGGCAUUACUUCCAUAGCAGCCAUUGUAUGUUUCACAAGACCUCAGUUGCAUGCACUACUGUUGUUAAUAACAUGUUUCUUUUUUGUAGACUGAGCAACAGCAAGGAAACUGGAUUUGGCUAGAAACCAAACUGAAGAGGAGUACAUUCAUUCCUGAGAUUUCUGUUCUAAGUUCCCUUUUUCUGGCAUUUUAUUUUUUUGCUGAAAAGAAUACGUGCUGUUGAAAACUUUCCAGUCAGCGAUACCCGGGGUCAUUUAAAAACUUCCAAAAGAGACAGCUCUGCUGGCAGCACAGCAUGGGGUCACAAAACCCUCCAUGACUGGAAGAUGCUUUCAGAGGCCAGAUGAUGCUGCAGGGCUCCCACGGUGCCAGGAGCGGGCAGUGCACAGCAAUUCCUGCAGCAGGAGCACAGCUCACCCCGGGGUUUCCUGAGGCACUGCACACUUGUGCUGGAGUGAUUAAAACCGGUCUGGUUUUACAAUGAGAAAAGGAGCUUUGAGAAGAAAUCCAAAGCAGUGAGAGUUAGUGCUUUGACUCAUGCAGCACCUUCUGCUCGUAUCUGUAGUCUGAAAUCAUCACUAACAAACGUGAAAUGCAUAUCAGAAAACUUUGCAGACCUUGCAAGUGAAGUAAAUAUCCAAAGUAAGUAUCCAAAGUAAGUACUCAAGCAUUGUCUGUUCGUGUUUAAGGCAACACAUUACAGAAUGUGCUUUUCUCCAGUUUACAAUCUUGAAAAUGUGUUAAGUCACAUCUGGUACAUACUUAAGAAUUAGAUCCAAAAGCACACACCUGUGAUGACCUCAAAAUCCCUCUAAACACUUAAAUUUACAAGUGCAAAACAAAGAAACCACUUGGUGCCUACAUAGGCUUUUUUUACUGAUUGAUACAAAAGCAACGAAUCUUUCCAGCCUUCUAUAAAUUACUAAAAACAAAAACAGUCAUAUAAAGUGCUGACCAGGUUUUCCUCAAAGCUCCAGAGCAGCAAGGAUAAAAACGAACCCACACUCUUGGAAGAUAUCAACACAAAAACCAGCUAAAAGGGAAACAAAAAUCUUAAAAUCAACUCUCUUUGAUGGUUAAAGUUGUUAAUCUCAGAUGGUAACCCACUUCUGGACUAUGAAUAGACUCAGAUUUUCAGUCAGACAGUGGUGAUGCACUGGCACAGGUUGCCCAAGGAGGUUGUGGAUGCCCCAUCCCUGGAGGCAUUCAAGGCCAGGCUGGAUGUGGCUCUGGGCAGCCUGGUCUGGUGGUUGGUGACCCUGCACAUAGCAAAGGGGUUGAAAAUGGAUGAUCAUUUCAAUGCAGGCCAUUCUAGGAUUCAAACCACGUGAUAGUGUCACUAAUGGGAAAGGGUCACAGGACAUCUGUAUUUUUACUACUUUACUUUUAGAUUUCAGCCAAACUAUGAAACUGUGAAACUAUGGCUUCUGGUGCUACCUCUUGUAUGUUAUGGACUUAUAUAUUCUUCAGCAGCAAUACUUCAGCAGCAGGGUCUUGUAGAUUAAUGCAAAUUUUCACUCUGUUAAAAUCCAUAGAUUGAUAUGAACAUGUAUUUAUUUGUUCAUGUAUUUAUAUGGAAGGAACAAUCUUACCUAUUCAGAUUCUUUUCAUCUGUCUUUUUCAUCAAUAAAUGCAUUAAUUUACACUGA